UGCCAGCCGCCGCGGUAAUACGAAGGGUGCUAGCGUUGUUCGGAAUUACUGGGCGUAAAGAGCAUGUAGGCGGAUGAAUUAGUCAGAGGUGAAAGCCCCGAGCUCAACUUGGGAACUGCCUUUGAAACUGGAUGGCUUGAGUACUGGAGGGGGUGGUGGAAUUCCCGGUGUAGAGGUGAAAUUCGUAGAUAUCGGGAGGAAUACCGGUGGCGAAGGCGACCACCUGGCCAGAUACUGACGCUGAGGUGCGAAAGCGUGGGGAGCAAACCGGAUUAGAUA
rnacentral:rRNA from 1 species